rnacentral:rRNA from 1 species
CGUUCCCGGGCCUUGUACACACCGCCCGUCAAGUCAUGAAAGUCGGUAACACCCGAAGCCGGUGGCCUAACCGCAAGGAAGGAGCCGUCGAAGGUGGGAUCGGUGAUUAGGACU